rnacentral:rRNA from 1 species
CAGCAGCCGCGGUAAUACGGAGGGUGCAAGCGUUAAUCGGAAUUACUGGGCGUAAAGCGCACGCAGGCGGUCUGACAAGUCAGAUGUGAAAUCCCCGGGCUUAACCUGGGAACUGCAUUUGAAACUGUCAGGCUGGAGUCUUGUAGAGGGGGGUGGAAUUCCAGGUGUAGCGGUGAAAUGCGUAGAGAUCUGGAGGAAUACCGGUGGCGAAGGCGGCCCCCUGGACAAAGACUGACGCUUAGGUGCGAAAGCGUGGGGAGCAAACAGGAUUAGAGACCCCGGUAGUCCCUGUCUCUUAUAC